rnacentral:rRNA from 1 species
CAGCAGCCACGGGAAUACAGAGGGUGCGAGCGUUAAUCGGAUUUACUGGGCGUAAAGCGUGUGUAGGUUGUUGUUCAAGUCCGUUGUGAAAGCCCUGGGCUCAACCUGGGAAUUGCAGUGGAUACUGGGUCACUAGAGUGUGGUAGAGGAUAGUGGAAUUUCCGGUGUAGCAGUGAAAUGCGUAGAGAUCGGAAGGAACAUCUGUGGCGAAGGCGACUAUCUGGGCCAACACUGACACUGAGGCACGAAAGCGUGGGGAGCAAACAGGAUUAGAUACCCCCGUAGUCCCUGUCUCUUAUAC